AUCCAUUGCAUUUAGACAUUCAGAAGGUUAUUCAUAAGUUUAUUUUAGUCUACAAACUUGCCCCUCCAUUGGAACCUUUCAGUUUUGUGUCCUGGGACAAAAUGGCUGCCAGAAAUCACCCAAUUGUUGCUAUUUUCCCCUCUUCUCUAUGAAGUGCCUCAUAAAUGACAUCUCUUAAUAUGUAUCCAGUGUGCCCAGUGACCUAGAAUCAGAAAUGUUCUUGUGCUGUGGUAGGGUGCCGGUGUCUCAGUCACUUGCUUUAAAUGUUAGUUGUGGGAUCCUGGAUGCCCCAUUGAGAUGUAGCUUGUAUGGUAAAUGACACUGCUGAGUUUUUAAUGGGGAAGUUGCGACCGCUUGGUUCCCCCCUGCCCCUGCGAUCGACUGACUUCAUCUGCCUUGUUCUUGGCAGAUACCACCCAUGUCUGACAUUACUCUGUUUAAAGGUCAGAGGAUCAUGUCCCUCACGACUGACACAUCUGUAGAAAAUAUCCGGUUUUAUGGCUGUGUAUCUGGAAUCCUUGGGCCCUGUGCUAUUUUAUCCCGAGAGCACUGAUUAAUGAAAUGCUGGUGGAUAGAUACCAAGAAAUAUCACAGAAAUACUGACUCUUGCAUUCUUAUUAGCCUAUUAUUUAUUUUCAUAUGGCUGUAUAGUAAAUGAUUAUUAUGCUAAAUGAUUAUCUUCUCACUCUAACCCAAACAGAAGUUUCAAGCAACUCAAAAUACUAAGUGUAUUUUUGUGACGAGUUUCCACCCAUGUGACUUCCAGUUGGGUGACACUUCUUGUGUGUUUACCAGAAACCACAUCAGACGCUGUGAAUUAAAUAGAGAUAAAAACUCACAAAGCUUGUUAUGCAUGCAUGUGUGUGUGCAAGAGAGAAAGAGAGAGAGGGAGUGAGAGAGAGGGAAAGAGAGAGGCGGUGACAGAGAAUUAUUACUCACUAAGUACACGGCCAAGCUGAGCUCAGUGUGCACACGCGCACGCACACACACGUACACACACACACACACACACACACAUACACACACACACAUGCACACACACACACACACACACACGCACUCACACGCAAAGGACGCAGAAGUGAAGAGCCCCGAGGGGUUUUAGGCGACGCUGCUGGCGAUGGCUCAGGGUUGUGACAGCAACGAACGAAGGUACUCCAAGUCCCCGUCGCCGGGCAACAAGCAGGAUCCUUCAGAUGAUGUGAAGAAGGUGCUGAGGAGGGAGAAGAACCGCAUCGCAGCCCAGAAGAGCAGGAUGAGGCAGAUGCAGAAGGCCGACAGCCUGCACCUGUUGUCAACCAGGUUGGGGGGUUCAGAUGGACUGAACUGGGGGCUGAUGUUGGUAUUGGUGCCCAGUUUCCCGGUACUCACCCUGCAAGAGUCAGAUAAGCAUAAACACAAGUUUCUCGCACUGUUCACUGUGACUGAUUGCAUCUGCAGUACAUUUUACAAGUAUCCCAAAAAACAGCCUUUGAUUUAUUCAUCAUUGGCUUGUCAAAAUAAAGAGCUGAAGGUGGAACCAACUGUCCUCUACCAAGUUAGAAAAAAAAUCGGACAAUCUGUGAACUCCUGGCUCACCGAUGAUGUUGCUGGUUAUGAAUUAAUCUCUGCCAACAGGCUUGUCUAGUACUGACCCUUGUAUUCAGUCAAACCUGCCAACAUAUGGGAAAAUUCUAAUCCUACUACGGUAAAAAGAAAACAACAUCUCCCCUCAGAAGUAUUUCACAAGGUGACUUUAUUCUCUUACAAAGGCUUGGUGGAUUUGGUUAAAUCUGGGCCAUAAUACAGACUUUACUUAGGCUGUUCUUUUGUUUGCUUGAAUGGCAGUUUUUUUUAAGAUGACUUGGCUCUUUUCAUUGAAUCCAGGGGCCUGUUGUAAGACACCUGAAGCCCAAAGGCAGCUUCUUUGUCAGAUGUGCCAGUCAUUUGGCUUACAUUAAAGAUGUCUGAACCAGCCCCAUUAACAUAACCAACCAAGCUUAGCAGAACGUGCCCCUGGGCUGAUCCGUGCUAUGCUAAGACUGUGAGGGACCAUGUGGGUCUGUGUCAUCCCCAUAGCUUCUGUCGUGCUGGGCACUUGGAACAGCCUUCCCCAUGCUUACAGCUGACUUUGGCACUGGUUUUCAAAUCGUGAGCACCAGUCCCUUCUGGGCAAAAUGUGACAUGCUGCAUCAUUAGCUAGCAUGCUAAUCCAAAGGCACGCUUCGAAAACGCAACUCUUAGCCAGUACCCACUUCUACCUGAAAUGUAAUUUGAGAUAUUUAAAAAAAAUUCAAUGAAACUUUAUAGCUUUGUGAGUGAAGUGAACACUUUGUGUUAUGUAGUGAUGAUUCCAUUGGAAAAUACAUAUCACUGUCAGUGAUGUCACAACCGACAACUCGGAGGACCGGGGGCCCCCCAUCUCUACAUAUUGCAUGACUUUCAAGAAUCUUCCACCCACACUUAUCGGUGAGGGUCCACUCAAGCAGCGCCAGAGCGAGCCUCAAAUGAGAGUGGAGAGCAUGAGUGCUUAAUGUGUGCUGUGGUUUCGGUCUCUGCACUAUGCCGUGAUAAACAGGAAGCUCAAAUUUCCCUCUGGGUGACACACUUCCUGUCAGAGCAGUUUUACUUGUUCAGGUUAUUUUUUUUUCUACAAUGAAAAUGAGCUGUGGCAUGAUAGUAGGCGGAAGGGGGGCAAGAGUCAAACAUUUCUGGUAAGGGGUGUACCACGAACAAGCCAGGACUACAGACUGUAGAAAAAAUAUGGACAAAGUGACUGUGAUGUUACCCACUGACUUUCCAUGGGCUUGUAAAAAGUGUUUUGUAACAGCGCAAGUGCAGUUUUCUUGCCACCAUGUAGUACAAAUUGGAGCCAGAGACUGUGCAGUACGGAAAAGGGGGGACCCUUAUGUGCCUUACAUGACCCAGUCUGGAUCAUCCACCAAGCAAGAGAGCGAGAACUUGGAGAAAGAGAAUGCAGCCCUGAGGAAAGAAGUGAAGAGGCUCUCAGAAGAAGCCAAGUACCUGACGACCGUGCUUAGCAACCAUGAACCUCAGUGCCCUGGCCUGGGGCCCCAGUCCUCCAACAUCC